AUUCUUACCCUGCAGUGGACAUAGCAUGAUUGGCAAGGUGGUUUUCUGAAAGUGAUGCUCACCCAUUGCACUCCAAAUGUGCUGAACCUUGUGAUUCCCCCUAAUGUAGGAAACUCAGGUGUAUAAUCUAUGGUAGUGGAGAACUGCAUUCAUUCUUUCCCCUG
ensembl:snRNA U1 U1 spliceosomal RNA